rnacentral:rRNA from 1 species
CUAUGCGCCUUGCCAGCCCGCUCAGGUGUGCCAGCAGCCGCGGUAAUACGUAGGUGGCAAGCGUUGUCCGGAUUUACUGGGUGUAAAGGGCGUGUAGCCGGGCCGGCAAGUCAGAUGUGAAAACCACGGGCUCAACCUGUGGCCUGCAUUUGAAACUGUAGUUCUUGAGUACUGGAGAGGCAGACGGAAUUCCUAGUGUAGCGGUGAAAUGCGUAGAUAUUAGGAGGAACACCAGUGGCGAAGGCGGUCUGCUGGACAGCAACUGACGCUGAGGCGCGAAAGCAUGGGGAGCAAACAGG